rfam:Enterobacter sp. 638, complete genome.
UUACGUGACGAAGCGCGCGCCAAAGUGGACAAUAAAGCCUAAGCUUCGAGUAAGUCGCCAUGAGACGCCGGUUUAGCCGGCGUUUUUUA